UACGAAGGGUGCAAGCGUUAAUCGGAAUUACUGGGCAUAAAGCGUGCGUAGGCGGUGAUUUAAGUCUGCUGUGAAAUCCCCGGGCUCAACCUGGGAAUGGCAGUGGAUACUGGAUCGCUAGAGUGUGAUAGAGGAUGGUGGAAUUCCCGGUGUAGAGGUGAAAUUCGUAGAUAUCGAGAGGAACACCUGUGGCGAAGGCGGCCAACUGGACGAGUACUGACGCUGAGACACGAAAGCGUGGGGAGCAAACAGG
rnacentral:rRNA from 1 species